rnacentral:rRNA from 1 species
GAUGAACGCUGGCGGCGUGCCUAAUACAUGCAAGUCGAGCGAACAGACGAGGAGCUUGCUCCUCUGACGUUAGCGGCGGACGGGUGAGUAACGCGUGGAUAACCUACCUAUAAGACUGGGAUAACUUCGGGAAACCGGAGCUAAUACCGGAUAACAUGUUGAACCGCAUGGUUCAACAGUGAAAGACGGUCUUGCUGUCACUUAUAGAUGGAUCCGCGCCGCAUUAGCUAGUUGGUAAGGUAACGGCUUACCAAGGCAACGAUGCGUAGCCGACCCGAGAGGGUGAUCGGCCACACUGGAACUGAGACACGGUCCAGACUCCUACGGGAGGCAGCAGUAGGGAAUCUUCCGCAAUGGGCGAAAGCCUGACGGAGCAACGCCGCGUGAGUGAAGAAGGUCUUCGGAUCGUAAAACUCUGUUAUUAGGGAAGAACAAAUGUGUAAGUAACUAUGCACGUCUUGACGGUACCUAAUCAGAAAGCCACGGCUAACUACGUG